UAUGACUGUAUGGUCAUUAAGUACUUUUUGGAUUACAUUUGGUUUCACAUUUGGAAAUGCCUGUAGGAAGAAAAAGUUCUGAUCAUUAUAUAAAUGAAGCUGUCUACUUGGAGGUUAUAUCUUCCCAUGAGUGAUUUUUAUGCAUAUGACUCUAAGGACUUGGAAACCAGCUGAGAUUCAGAUCCUCCCUUUGUGUAGACAAUCAUCUCUGAACUUUUAAGACUGAAAAUUGAGCCCCAUGUUGGUCAACAACUCCAAGUAUUGCUGUGGGACCUGUUUGGGAGACCAACUAUUCUGUCUCAGGUAACAACUAAUUGGAUUGGCCAUAUUUUUUAUUGAAAUUGUUAAUGGUUACACCAGUGACAAGUUCCUUGUAGAAAACUAAGUAAAGGCAUACAUUUAUUGAUAUUGGUAAAUAAUCUGAAGAUGAGCACAAGACCCAAACUGGACCAAUCAGAACCCUUUCAUGGGAGUUCUGAAGAUAAUUGGUAUCCCACUGAUGUCCAUUCCAUAAGUGGAAGUCUGGAGUAGUCAACAGCAGAGCCUUUGCUCUCUGAACAGAGCCAGUCUCAAUAGAAGAAACAUCUGUGGAGCCACUGGAAGUAGGGUGGACAGCAAAAGCUCUGCCUGCACUCCACGUGUUCCUGAAGCCCAGUUAGACAUGUUCCUACACUUCAUUUGAUUAUGUGGAACAAAUUCCAAAAAUGACCCAAACUGAUAGAGUGUUGUUGAAUUGGAAUGUACACUGCUAUGGUAACAGAAGGAUACUAAACGGCAAGGGAUUGUGAGGAAUGGUGCAGCAUGCACAGGGACUAAUGAAUAUCAACAUUCCUCAAUAUUUACCCAUUUGUAAACAAACCAAACCUUGGCACUUCCUGCUAAUUGAUGCCAGUAUGCACCAGAAUGCCAACACAGAGCUGAUAUUCCUCAAGCCAGAUGGGUUGCUCUUUUCAUAACAGUGCUUCAGUUACUCCAGGGAAGCCAUGGAUUGGGGAGUGGCAUCUUACAAAAGCAAGAACUUAUUGAAGAAUGGUUUCUUUGGAAUUUAGUGGCAUGUCUCAGUGGGAGAAGUUAUUUGGAAAAAGAGAAAAUGGGGCCACUUCUUAAAAGAAAUUUGAAUAAAAAAUCCCCUUUAGUAAUUAUUUUAGACAAUGGACACCAAAAUGACUAUUGUACUUUCCUGGAUCUAAAUGAGGAACUUGUAUUUAAAUGUCACUACUCUGUGACAAGAGUAUGAGAUGAUUACUAGGUGAAAUUUAGAUAAACAUUAAAAAAUCUGAGUAACAGCAAAGAUUCUUUUUGAUUGAACAUACAUUUGAUAUAUUUUACUUUUUAUCAAAUUUUAUUAGAAUGAAUGUAUUUAUUCUAAUAGAGACUUAGCCCAAUAAGUCUUUUCAUAGAAAGUCCAGGGGGUAACUUUCCAGGCUUAGGAUAAAUCUUUAUAAGAGGUGUUUCUAGGGUGGGCAUAAAAGAGGCAGGCCCCUUGGUCUAAAAAUUUUACUCCCAAAGAAAAUUAAGAAAAAAAAAGUAGGUUGAAGCAAAGACAAAAUCCUCAAGACCUAAAGAGAGUGUUGCUUGGCACCUUCCUAUCUUGAAUUCUCAGCUGCUCACACUGGCUGCCUGCUCCACAUUUGAAAUCAAAGGUCUCAACAAUAACCAGAGAAUGUCCUGAGAACACAGCAUCCUGAGAUAAGGAGAGACAGGCUGGACAAUCUGAGCUCUGUUCCAGUCAACCUCCCCAGAAACAGGAUGCCCUCUGCUAUGGUUUCAACAUGUCUCCCAAAGUUCCUGUGCUGGAAACUUGGCCUUCAAGGCAACAGUGUUGAGAGGUGCAUCCUUUAAGAGAUGGUAUGAAUGGAUUAAUCCUGUUAUCAUGGGAAGGUGAGUUAUGGUAGGAGUGGGCUCUUGGUAAGAGGAUGAGUUUAUCUGCCUUCUCUUCUCUCUCCCCAUAUGAGGAAUAAGAAGAAGACCCUUAUCAUGUGCCAUCUUCUAGCUUCUAGAAAUCCCAGUCUUCAAAACUGUGAGAAAUAAAUUUCUUUAUACAGUAUCCAGUCUGUGGAUUCUGUUAUAGCAGCAAGACAUGGACUUGGACACUGUAGUGACUCAGCACAGUGUUUCUGGUGGUUGGCUUGUUCAACACAACCCAGGGCUGCUUUCAGCAUCCCUCAGCUGCUGUGCUACUGAGGCACACACAGUUGAGACUACUUGCCCAGGGCAGUUUUCCUGAGCAUUGGGGAACAGGCUGGCAUGAAUCCAGAGUAUCUGUUGUCUCUUAACUGUAAAUAUUAAAUAUGCUUCAUGUAAAACA